AUUGAACGCUGGCGGCAGGCCUAACACAUGCAAGUCGGGCGAGAGGCUGACGUGUGAGUAAUGUAUGGUGACUGCCUGAUAGAGGGGGAUAACUACGGACAACGGUAGAUAAUACACCAUAACAUCAGAUAACCCCUAUGGGAUUAGCUUGUAGGUGCGGUAACGGCUCACCUAGUGGACGAUCACUAGCUGGUCUGAGAGGAUGAGCAGCCACCCUGGGACUGAGACACGGCCCAGACUCCUACGGAGGCAGCAGUGGGGAAUAUUGGACAAUGGGCGCAAGCCUGAUGCAGCCAUGCCGCGUGUAUGAAGAAGGCCUUCGGGUUGUAAAGUACUUUCAGUCGGGAGGCGGUACCGACAGAAGAAGCACCGGCUAACUCCGUGCCAGCAGCCGCGGUAAUAC
rnacentral:rRNA from 1 species